UGAUUUACUUCUUUACAAAUUUUAAAUACAAUCUGUUUCAAAAUCCUUUUUAGUUCUGUUCUUACCACUUGAGGAGCUCUCACUCGAAUUUCUCCGUCUACACUUCUCAUCACCGGAAGAGAAACAAAGAAAAGCAUCCACGUUCUCGUACAAGAUGGGUAGAAGGGAAACAAAGCCUUUAGGGACCGUGUCCAGCGUUAAAUCUUCUGCUUUGUGAAGUUGACAAGAGCAACAUUCAUAGCACUUUCUGUAUUUUUUUUUUCCUUGAAUACAUCCGUAUGUUGUGCGUGUUUAAAUGUGAAUGUACAGAUGUAUAUGAUGUGAAUGUAUAGAUGUAUAGGAUGUGAAUAUGUUUGUAUAGAUGUAUGUAUAGGAUGUGAAUAUGUCUGUAUAGAUGUAUGUAUAGGAUGUGAAUGUAUAGUAUGAAUUAAUGAAUAGGAUGUGAAUGUAA